GUCCAGGUGGCAGAGUCCGGCCAAUGCAGAAGGCCUAAGCCCUUCCUACAGGGGUUCAACUCCCCCCCUAGACU
rnacentral:tRNA from 1 species